rnacentral:sRNA from 1 species
GGGGACCUCAGUGGUGUGGGCCGACUGUCCCCAAGGGAAAGGCUAGAGGCAGAUGGGCUCCCGCCUGUGGGCCAGACCCCAGCCUACCUCGCUUAUUCUGCGUGCCGUGCUUCUUGGCCAGGGCGAUUUCUCUCUGGAUUCGAUUUUCCAGAUUUUCUUCCAUUUGUGUGUGAUGAUUGUUCAGGAAUAUUUUGCCUUGAACACAGAAGCAGGGAGUCUCAUGGUUGUCCUGAGGUGACUGUAAUCAAUGAGAGACUGAAGACAGAUCAACAUACAUCUUACCCAUGCUCUUUCAAAGACUGUGCUGAGAGAGAACUUGUGGCAGUUAUAUGUCCUUACUGUGAGAAGAAUUUUUGCCUGAGGUGAUUGAUCACUUAGGCUGUUCACACUUUGUAUAUCUGUUUAAGUCCUAUACAAACACAUGAACUAGUGUCACUCUUCUGUUGCUCAUAGACACCGUCAUCAGUCAGAUCAUGAGUGUGAAAAACUGGAAAUCCCAAAGCCUCGAAUGGCUGCCACUCAGAAACUUGUUAAAGACAUUAUUGGUAAGUAUCUAGAAAGCGUGUUUUGUUGCUUUCCUAGUUCCAGAGCUCCUGCUUCUUAUGUCUACUUUCCAAUUAUGGGAGGCAUCAUUAAUAACCCCAGUGGUAUUCGUAUUAACUUGUAUUUUGAUGAUAUUCUUGUGACAGUAUUUCUUAUGAGGUCUACCUGACCAAUGGAAAUUUGGAAAUUAUUUGGAGGUACUGCACUGUAAGUACUUAUCUCUUUUGCUGAGCCACUUAGAUUAGCUAGUUAACCAUUGGGCUAGAAAUGGUAUUCAUGAGACUGAAGUAGUCAGCUACUUUCUCUACAGACUAAACUCUAAGCCUAGUCAGCUGUUCUGUGAAUGCUGCUGAUAAUAAGAGAUAC